UACGGAGGGUGCAAGCGUUAUCCGGAUUCACUGGGUUUAAAGGGUGCGUAGGUGGGUUGGUAAGUCAGUGGUGAAAUCUCCGAGCUUAACUUGGAAACUGCCAUUGAUACUAUUAAUCUUGAAUAUUGUGGAGGUCAGCGGAAUAUGUCAUGUAGCGGUGAAGUGCUUAGAGAUGACAUAGAACACCAAUUGCGAAGGCAGCUGGCUACACAUAUAUUGACACUGAGGCACGAAAGCGUGGGGAUCAAACAGG
rnacentral:rRNA from 1 species